CGUCAUUUUAUACAUACAUACAUAUGUUCUAGACAAAUUUUGAAGUUCUAAUAGUAUGGCCAUGUACAUGUGGAUUAUUCUUCCAAUGUUUUGUUAUUAUUUAUUUAUUCCAACUGAUGCUAAAUAUUGUUAUGAUACGUAUCCAAUGGGUAAAAGAUACGAGACCUGUGUAGAAGAUUCAGAAAUGAACUUUGCAAAAAUAUUCUGCAGUGUUGUCAUUUUUGCGGUACUUGCAAUCCCGAUUUCAUUUUGUAUAAGUAAAAUAUUUCGAAGCCGGGGAUAUUGAUGAAACACAGAUACCGAUGAAACGUGACGCUCCUCUUAGAACAAAUUGGACAUUAUUUUUGGUAGCAAAUCACAUUUUCAUGAUAUUUCGAGACUGAAUAGAGAUGCUGUUAAUCAGAAAUCUGUUAAUUGUUUAAGUUGACUAUAUAAGACUAUCAGGUUAACUUGAUUGU